rnacentral:rRNA from 1 species
AUUGAACGCUGGCGGCAUGCCUUACACAUGCAAGUCGAACGGCAGCACGGGAGCAAUCCUGGUGGCGAGUGGCGAACGGGUGAGUAAUAUAUCGGAACGUGCCCGGUCGUGGGGGAUAACGUAGCGAAAGCUACGCUAAUACCGCAUACGAUCUACGGAUGAAAGCGGGGGGAUCGCAAGACCUCGCGCGAUUGGAGCGGCCGAUAUCAGAUUAGGUAGUUGGUGAGGUAAAGGCUCACCAAGCCGACGAUCUGUAGCUGGUCUGAGAGGACGACCAGCCACACUGGGACUGAGACACGGCCCAGACUCCUACGGGAGGCAGCAGUGGGGAAUUUUGGACAAUGGGCGCAAGCCUGAUCCAGCAAUGCCGCGUGCAGGAUGAAGGCCUCGGUUGUAAC